ACUCGAACUGUUGGGGAGCUAGUUACUGGUAGAAAGGCCCCAAGGCCGGGCUUCGGUGGCUGCAGUAGACUGGAUCUGGAUCUCUAAAUGGCAAUCUAUUGACAUGGCUGCCAGCGGUACUUGUGUGUAUGCGAGUAGCACUAGAAAUGCCAUAACAAUGGAAUCAUAUGUCCACAGUUCUACCUCUUUGAGCCAUGCAAUUUAAGGUUGAAGACCUGAAAACUGUGACCCCUGUUGCCUAGCAACUGAGAAGCUCAGCCUCAACUCCGGGUGGGGGAGAUGAUGGAGAAAGUAUUCUAGCUCCCAAUCCAAGAAUGGAGGCAUAUGGAAGUGGAUGAAGCUAAACUAUGGUAUCGGAAACUGACCCUGAGUGAAGAAUCUGUGUUACUGUUGAGGCUCUGCCCUGAGGAUCUCUGUGACAUGGCAGAGCUCACCGCGUCCCCUGAUGCUUCUUCAUCUGUGGGAGUCUGUGAUGGGGUACUGCAUUUUGAUAAAUUGAAGGUUUGUGGAACGCUGCAUUGAGCAAGUCUAUUGGUACCAUUUUCCAACAGCAUGUGCUCACUUCAUGUCUCUGUGCCACAUUUGUGCUCCCAAAGCUUGCUGGCACAUAAACAUGAAUGAAUGAACAAUGUAGAAUUCACUCAAGAAAUUUCAAGGAGAGAGAGGAGGAGAUUUACAUCACACAGCAAACAACCUAAUAAAUCUGUUAAACGCCAUGCAUGUGAAUAGGCGUUUUCCUCUUUUUGACCCUUUCUUUCCACAUAGAACUCAGUGCUCCUUCCUCGUCCUCCGUUACAGUAUUUAUCGCCUUCCUUCUUCCACGCCGGGGAGCAGUCGAGGCUUGUGUUCUUCAGCGGACUUGCCAAAUCAUCCCCUCCAGCAUGCUGCUCUCUCCCUUCCACAGAUCAUCUGUUAAGAAAAUACAUUUUUCAUGUCGUUAAUUUACAUAUACAUGUGCAUUAUAUAUAUGUUUAUACAAUGAGAGAUUGUUAGGAAAAUCACUACCACAUAUACAUGCAUUAUAUAUAUUACAUAUACAUACAUAUGCAUUAUAUAUAUACCUGCACACACAUGCAUAUGGAAAAUUGUUAGGAAAAACAGCACAGUGGUAGUGUUAGUGCUGGUUGUCUUUCGGUGGUGAGAUUAUACAUUUUUUUCUAUAAUUUUCUGUAUUUUCCUAAUUUUCUGUGAUCCAUAUAUGUUUUUAAUCAUCAAAAGAUGUUGAAAUUUAAACCAUGUUCUACGUACAUUUUACAUCCCCAUUUAAAGCUUUCUCAUGGUUCUCCAUGGCCUGCAGGAUGAUGCUUGAUGUUCAGCUUAAGAGCUUCCUCUCCUCACUUCCCACCCCUCUGUCACUUGUAGCUCAUGCCCUAAUAAUACCAGAGUGUUUCCUGUGCACA
ensembl:lncRNA novel transcript